AGAAAACGCAGACACUAAACAACGAAAAACGAAAAAUGGAAGACGAAAAACAGAAACUAAAAUGUAAAAAAGUUAAAAGGAGAUAAGAAGAACAAAUAUUUGCUGUUUUCAACUAUGGGAAAACGACAUACAAAUAACCAUAAAAAAUGCGAUUCCAAAUUGAUUCCAGCGACUCUGAGACUGUCUUUGUACUUUGCUGAUGCUUAUUGCAAUUAAAAGAUACCGAAGUGAUCUAAAUUCGAAGGACACAGGAGUGAAAGAAAUUCUUGGAAUGAAAGCACUUUACUCUUGGCACAACUUGACAAAAUGUUUCCUUCGGUGGACAACUGCAAUGCUUGAAUUUCUGCUAUAUAUCAGACAGGUGUAUCUGUACAUAAAGUUUAAAGGAAGCUUUGCACUUGUCAACAGCGUUGCAGCUAUGCCAGAGAAAGCUGCAGCAUGAAUGGAGAAUUUAGGUUCCUCUAAAAAAAAAAAGAACUUCGGGUUUCUUUGCAGAAAGUAACUGGUCCACUUCAUUUUAAGUAUUUCUUUAAUCUAGCAUAAAUUUCGGUUUAAUUUCUUUAAUAUACUCAUCCAGUUGAAAAAGGUUAUAUGCUGUUUCUCACUGAAUUUUGAAAUUGUCUUUCACUUUAAGAAGAGCUUCUGUCGGACAGGCCUGAGUAAGACUUCUUGAGGAAGACUGGUUGUUGUCUAUGCAUAUAGACUUUCUCUCUCCAGGCUACUGACGUUAUCCAAGGAUGAGGCUGCUAACUUGGGCCGACACACUUUGGUAGCAGUGUCGUCGCAGAUGUCAGAACGUAAAAGUCCAGAACAGAUACCACAAAGUAUGGUACCUGUCCAUUUAACAGUUCCACCAUCCACUACCUUGGACUGAAAAUUUUUAUCCCCUCCCCUAUUCAAUACUCUGACAAUUCUGCCAGUUCGCCGCACUCUUUUAUGUCACUGAAUAUGAAGACCAUUUAAAAUUUUCUUCCAUACAAACUGUACCACAUCAUUACUAUACAAGAAGCAAACUUGAAUAUAUCCUCUAUGAAGACCCAGUGAAUGUUGACCGCACAGAUGAAUUAUGUCUUUUGACAGAUUCUUUCUACUGUUCUUACAUAUAUACUGAAAUGGGUGGAUUGCACGAAAAGAUGAGGUUUGUGAAGAAUUUGUGAAGUUUUGAUGGAAAUUAGGAAUAGCCAUUCAAAUAGUCAUCAACUUUCGGGAGCCAGAUGAGGUGGUAUAAAUUUCUGAAAGUACAGAACCGGGAUCCAUUUACAGUUUUUAGAGAUUCAAAUGAAAGAGAAAUACGCGGAUUGUCGAAUAUGAAGAAACACCUUGCUUGCCAUUUUGGAAAUAUUUUAUUUGCUCUUUCCAAAUGUAGUAUUUUGAGAGAUCACAGUUUAACAUAGUCGAAAGAAUGCUGUGAGACUGGAUCUAGACCAUCGUUGAAUGCGAUACCAAAUAUUUUUCUCAGUAAAUUAUAUUCUUUCUAGAUGAAUACCUAAGUGCAUUAUACUCAGGUGGAGUUUAUGGAUCGAUAAUUUCAGAAUUUGCCACACUCCGUCAUAGUGCUGAUGUAUCUGCCAGUUUAGUAAAAAAGCAACCCUCCAGCUCGAUCACUUCUUUUGAUCACAUA